ACAGUGUGAAAAUGACCUCAGAUAUACCAGUUGUCUGUGGUUAGAUACCUGUGCCAACAGUGUUACGGUACAUUAAGCUUAUUGCCUGCUAUCUAUAGCACUGUGAUUAAACCCAUGUGCCCACAUUU
ensembl:snoRNA small nucleolar RNA ACA64